rnacentral:rRNA from 1 species
AUUGAACGCUGGCGGCAGGCCUAACACAUGCAAGUCGAGCGAGCGGCGGACGGGUGAGUACUGUAUGGGGAUCUGCCCGUUAGAGGGGGAUAACUACUGGAAACGGUAGCUAAUAUCGCAUACUCUCGGAUGAACCCAUAUGGGAUUAGCUAUUUGGUGAGGUAAUGGCUCACCAAGGCGACGCUCCCUAGCUGGUCUGAGAGGAUGAUCAGCCACACUGGGACUGAGACACGGUCCAGACUCCUACGGGAGGCAGCAGUGGGGAAUAUUGAACAAUGGGCGCAAGCCUGAUGCAGCCAUGCCGCGUGUAUGAAGAAGGCCUUAGGGUUGUAAAGUACUUUCAGCGGGGAGGCGUUACCCGCAGAAGAAGCACCGGCUAACUCCGUGCCAGCAGCCGCGGUAAUUC